GAGAGGUGUUCGCACACAAAGAGCUGCUAACUCCUUGCCCUGAGGUUAAACUCCACAGACCUCUCA
rnacentral:tRNA from 2 species